AUGCUCACUUGGCAGGGGACCUAUCAUGACCCCAAAGGUGGCUUUCCUAAGGCGAGGCCCACCCCUCGCACUCCGGGUGUGCUGACCCCUGUGAUUUCCCCGAAUGUGGGAAACUUGACAGCGUAGUUUGUGGUAAUGGGAGAUUGUUUGCCUUCUU